AAGGAUGGAAGCCAUUCUCUCGUCUUCUUGGAUUCCCCAUUCAUGUCAUCUUCAGCAGUUCGUUUCUCACCUCUCUCCUUAACCGAUGUGGACCUUCCAAAGCCUGCAAUCCCCUGACUUGAUUCUUGUUCACUGUCACACUUAAAAGCUCUCUCUGGAAAGGAUUGAGACCUCAUGCAUUUACCCUGCCCAGAACCAUAUGGGGGGCCUACUUCUCUGAUAUCCUCAUUAGAAUGUGCAGGCACUAAUUUAGACAUUUCAGGAUCACAUUUUGAAUCACGAGUCAUAUUUGGUAGUGAAUCAGCUGUGGAGAAAUCAAGAGUGCCAUCUGGAACUGAGACUUCAGAUUCUUUGGGAGGCCCAAUAUCAGAUGCAUUUUCCUCUUCCUUAUUAGGAACUUGGUCAACCUUGGGGGACCUGUAUGUCAAUGCAGAGCGUGUUCUGGUUGGGACCUUCACAAAUUUGCAGAAUGUUAGUAAAUCAGAUCCAUGCUUGCUAGAGAGAUCACCCUCUACAGCACAGGGCUGGAUAGUUAAGUCCUCGGAAAUACUUUGUGUCUCAGUUUCAUGACCAUGAUCGUAGUCCAUCUCCUCAUUCCCAGAAUUCAAGUUUGUCAAAUCAUCGGACACCUUGGAAGGUUCCCCAUCAGUCUCAUCUUUCCCAUUGCUUAAAGAACUUGCCUUGGAACCCAUUUCAUCUGCAUUGUUGAACUCUGCUCCUGAUUCAAUAUCAGUUGCUUCCUCAGUUUCUAGUGCUGACGCACUCUGACCAAACUUCCCAUCACCAACAUCUUCACCGACUUGAUGCUCUUCAUAAUUUCCAGAAUUAGAGUCAUCAGGCCCCUCCAUAUCAAGAGACAUCCGAUUUCUAUCUGACCACGACC
rnacentral:misc_RNA from 1 species